rnacentral:rRNA from 1 species
GACGAACGCUGGCGGCGUGCCUAAUACAUGCAAGUAGAACGCAGUUGCGAACGGGUGAGUAACGCGUAGGUAACUGCCUCAUAGCGGGGGAGAACUAUUGGAAACGAUAGCUAAUACCGCAUACUGUGAGAGGGACCGGCGUUGUAUUAGCUGGUUGGUGAGGUAACGGCUCACCAAGGCGACGAUACAUAGGCGACCUGAGCGGGUGCACUGGCACUAUUGGACUGAAACACGGCCCCGGAUCCUACCGGAGGCAGCAGUAGGGGAACUUUGGCAAUGGAGGGAAGUCUGACCGAGCAACGCCGCGUGAGUGAAUAAGGUUUUUGGUUCGUAAAGCUCUGUUGUUAGAGAAGCGGUAACUACCCAGAAAGCGACGGCUAACUACGUGCCAGCAGCCGCGGUAAUAC